rnacentral:rRNA from 1 species
UACGUAGGGGGCUAGCGUUGUCCGGAAUCAUUGGGCGUAAAGCGCGCGUAGGCGGCCCGGUAAGUCCGCUGUGAAAGUCCAGGGCUCAACCCUGGAAAGCCGGUGGAUACUGCCGGGCUAGAGUCCGGGAGAGGCGAGUGGAAUUCCUGGUGUAGCGGUGGAAUGCGCAGAUAUCAGGAGGAACACCUAAGGCGAAGGCAGCUCGCUGGAACGGUACUGACGCUGGAGGCGCGAAAGCGUGGGGAGCGAACAGG